AUUGAACGCUGGCGGCAUGCUUUACACAUGCAAGUCGAACGGUAACAGGCCGCAAGGUGCUGACGAGUGGCGAACGGGUGAGUAAUGCAUCGGAACGUGCCCAGUCGUGGGGGAUAACGCAGCGAAAGCUGCGCUAAUACCGCAUACGAUCUGUGGAUGAAAGCGGGGGACCGUAAGGCCUCGCGCGAUUGGAGCGGCCGAUGUCAGAUUAGGUAGUUGGUGGGGUAAAGGCUCACCAAGCCGACGAUCUGUAGCUGGUCUGAGAGGACGACCAGCCACACUGGGAUUGAGACACGGCCCAGACUCCUACGGGAGGCAGCAGUGGGGAAUUUUGGACAAUGGGCGCAAGCCUGAUCCAGCAACGCCGCGUGCAGGAAGAAGGCCUUCGGGUUGUAAACUGCUUUUGUACGGAACGAAAAGGCUCUGGUUAAUACCUGGGGCUCAUGACGGUACCGUAAGAAUAAGCACCGGCUAACUACGUGCCAGCAGCCGCAGUAAAAC
rnacentral:rRNA from 1 species